UACGGAGGGGGCUAGCGUUGUUCGGAAUUAUUGGGCGUAAAGGGCGCGUAGGCGGCCAUGAAAGUCUGACGUGAAAUCCCCCGGCUCAACCGGGGAACUGCCUCAGAAACUGCAUGGCUUGAGUCCCGGAGAGGGUAGCGGAAUUCCCAGUGUAGCGGUGAAAUGCGUAGAUAUUGGGAGGAACACCAGUGGCGAAGGCGGCUACCUGGACGGGUACUGACGCUGAGGCGCGAAAGCGUGGGGAGCAAACAGGAUUAGAUACCCCCGUA
rnacentral:rRNA from 1 species